UUCCGGUUGAUCCUGCCGGAGGCCAUUGCUAUCGGAGUCCGAUUUAGCCAUGCUAGUCGCACGGGUUCAGACCCGUGGCGAAUAGCUCCGUAACACGUGGCCAAACUACCCUACAGAGAGCCAUAACCACGGGAAACUGUGGCUAAUAGCUCAUACGCGACACACGCUGGAAUGCCAUGUCGUCGAAAUGCUCCGGCGCCAUAGGAUGCGGCUGCGGUCGAUUAGGUAGACGGUGGGGUAACGGCCCACCGUGCCGAUAAUCGGUACGGGUCGUGAGAGCGAGAGCCCGGAGAUGGAUUCUGAGACAAGAAUCCAGGCCCUACGGGGCGCAGCAGGCGCGAAAACUUUACACUGCACGAAAGUGCGAUAAGGGGACUCCGAGUGUGUGGGCAUAGAGCCCACACUUUUGUGUACCGUAAGGUGGUACACGAAUAAGAGCUGGGCAAGACCGGUGCCAGCCGCCGCGGUAAUACCGGCAGCUCAAGUGAUGGCCGAUCUUAUUGGGCCUAAAGCGUCCGUAGCCGGCCGGGCAAGUCCGUUGGGAAAUCUGUUCGCUUAACGAACAGGCGUCCAGCGGAAACUGCUCGGCUUGGGACCGAAAGACCUGAGGGGUACGUCCGGGGUAGGAGUGAAAUCCUGUAAUCCUGGACGGACCGCCGAUGGGGAAACCACCUCAGGAGGACGGAUCCGACGGUGAGGGACGAAAGCUAGGGUCUCGAACCGGAUUAGAUACCCGGGUAGUCCUAGCUGUAAACGAUGUCUGCUAGGUGUGGCACAGGCUACGAGCCUGUGCUGUGCCGUAGGGAAGCCGAGAAGCAGACCGCCUGGGAAGUACGUCCGCAAGGAUGAAACUUAAAGGAAUUGGCGGGGGAGCACUACAACCGGAGGAGCCUGCGGUUUAAUUGGACUCAACGCCGGU
rnacentral:rRNA from 1 species